GCUUAUCUACAGAGACUGGAGAAAGAGAAAGAGCAGCUGCUGAGGACACUGCAGGACAGUGAAGCCAGUCUGGACAAUCAGAGCUGUGAACUGGAGCGCCUCCUCCUGGAACUAGAGAAGAAAUGUCAGGGAUCAGCCCAGAAUUUAUUGCAGGAUGUGAAAGGCACAUUAAACAGGAAUUCAGAUGUGAAGCUGGAACAGCCAGAG